GAGAGAGAGAGAGAGAGAGAGAGAGAGAGAGAGAGAGAGAACGCGCAGGAGCAAGAGAGCUAGCACACUGGGCACAGGCCUUUGAAACUUCAACCUCCCCAGUACACUUCCUCCCACAAAGCCACACAUAUAUAAGCCUAUGAGGAGCUCUUAUUCAAACCACCACAAGGUAACUACAUAGCCUGAGCUGGUCUUAAUUUUGCUAUAAGCUGACCUUCCCCCUUAGCCCACCGAGUGCCAGAAUUACAGAAUAAAGCACCACACUUUGCUUUGUUUUCUAUUUUAAUGAAAUAACCAGAAACUGAAGUAGAAAUGGGAUUUGCCCAAGGCCACCUGGCCAGGAAGGAUUAGAACCCAGACCUCUGUGCUUCUAGCAGUUUACCAACUAAUUUGGCGAGAAGAACACGGUUCAUCGUUGAUCAUCUGUAGAGAUAGGCACGAGACAUUUUCAUUUAGUUUUCCCUAUCUUAGAAUUCAGAGUGGAGGAGAAAGUGAGAGGCACCCCUUCCUCUGAGUCUGCUGUUGGUCUCCGCAUCUUAAGACUGUUGUUAUUUUCUUGAAAACAGCACGGCUCCACAGCAACCCCUUGUAAUUGACAAGGUCAGUUGUCAAGGGUGGGUAACCCCAUCUCAGGCCCCAGGCAGCCAUGUUUCAGCCCCUGGAUCAGAGUCGUUUCCCCAGAACUUACUGGUCACUCUGAUGUCCCAAGUCAGAGAAAAAAGUUGUUACAAGGUGCUAUUGGGUUCCCAUGGUGUAGGGCAGCAAAGCGGCUCUGUCACUAGAGGACAUCUACCUCUGAGCUCUGGAGUGGGGUGUCGGGGAUCAGGGAGAAGGUAGGUUGGAGAGAAGCUGGUGACUUCCUGUUUCUGCUAACAAGUUCAGUGUUCUGCAGAGGGCAAAGCCUGGGUUUAUUCUCUGCUUCCUUCUCACCUCUGCCAUAGCAGCCACCGGGCCGUGGAGCUGGGCAGUUGCCCCCUUGUGGACCCACAAACCAACAUCCCUUCUAGGCUCCUGGACAGAGUGUCUUGCCAUUAUCAAUCACUCCCUGAAUCUAGCCUUUCCAGGUCACCGGAAGCGGCACACACCGGUCUCACGCAGGGUGAGAGGUCUAGAGAGUGAGACCACAUCUUACCAGGUCACCUUGCCAAGUUCCUGAGGCUGACUGUCCUCACCUGUAAACUGAGAGUGCGAACAGGCUCGCCCAUCUGUAUGCUGGCAUCUAAAGGAGACAAAGCCUGGUGUGUGGCAGGCAUGAGCCCCGAGAACCUGAAGGAACUGUUUUGUUACAAUCUGCAAGAAGUCAGAGGCACAGGAAGCCUGGCAAACAGAUGCUCCCAAACUCUCUGCUCCCGAAGGUGCCCAGUUUCCGAUCAUCUGGAUCCCUUCAUCACAGAUGUUUCUCAUUUAUCGUCUCUGCCUCUUUAAAUCUACAUUCAGCAGCCCUGAGGGCUCUACAGGAAUGCUCAGCCCUCAGGCAGCUGUGGGAACCACUGCCAGGCACCUGAUGAUGUCAGCAUCCUGAGACAUUCAUGACCAGCUAAAGGAACAACUGGCUGGUAAAGAGAAGAUCUAGAUGACUGGGCAGUGGUGGUGGUAAGGGGUGGGGAGGAGUAGGGGGUGGAAGUGGGAUGAGGUGGGCCCAGAGACAAGAUGAAGCAGGCCUUCCUAUAACUCUGACAUUCCUCUUGAGUUGAGAGGGUGUCUUAGUUAGAGUUUUACUGC